rnacentral:rRNA from 1 species
CGUAACAAGGUAGCUGUAGGUGAACCUUCGGCUGGAUCAUUACCGAUUCAAAACAUUACCUUGACUUUUUUCAAACAAAUGGCUUCGGCUGUUUGAGUAGGCUUCGGCUUGCUGACACGUUUCGUUCAUGUAAAAGUGUUCGUCUCGUACCCACUCUAACGGCUUGGAUUGGCUUCUGUGGAAGGUUGAGCAGUUGUGUCACACGUCCGUGGCUGCGCAUGAAACCGACCGAUAGCUGAGCGCACGCAAGUGCUGUUCGGUGAGAAUCAAUGACCCCGAGAGGGCGCCAAUCAAACACAUUUUCGAAUUUCAUUUUCUUUAAGUAGCUGAAAAGUUGCUUCGGUGGAUCACUCGGUUCGCGGGUCGAUGAAAAACGCAGUGAAUUGCGAUAAUAAGUACGAAUUACAGAUAUUAUGAGUGCCAUGUUUUUGAAUGCAUAUUGCGCCGUUGGGUUUUGCUCUUCGGCAUAUGUGAUUCAGGGUAGUUUCAUUCCAACUCGUAGUGGACUUGUCCGCCGCGUUGAUGGUUGAAUCGUUGGCUUGUUUUCGCACGUUUUGUGAUGCUCGCCACGUUUGCUUGAUUUCGGAUCGUCCUCACGGAUGAUUUGUUUGAGCUGAAGGCUGUGGUAUUCUUGUAUUAGGUACCAACCUUUCACAUACGGCUUGCCGCGUUCGGUGGUAGGGAAAAUUGGUUUUCGUGGUUAAACGCGAUCAGACUCACAUCCUUAUAUCAUUGUUCGUUGCAGGUUCGGUGAACCUUUAUUGUGUUCUGGUGAUUGGGCAGUCGGAUGCUUGUUAAGCUACCUGAAUUGCGUAUGAUUACCUGCUGAACUUAAGCAUAUCAUUUAGCGGAGGAAAAGAAACAAACAUGGAUUUCCCUAGUAACUGCGAGUGAAA